GAAAGCCUGACGGAGCAAGACCGCGUGAUCGGAGGAAGGCUCUUGGGUUGUAAACCUCUUUUCUCAGGGAAGAAGCUCUGACGGUACCUGAGGAAUCAGCCUCGGCUAACUCCGUGCCAGCAGCCGCGGUAAUACGGAGGAGGCAAGCGUUAUCCGGAAUUAUUGGGCGUAAAGCGUCCGCAGGUGGCGAUUCAAGUCUGCUGUCAAAGCACGGGGCUUAACUCCGUUACGGCAGUGGACACUGAAUAGCUAGAGUGCCGUAGGGGUAGAGGGAAUUCCCGGUGUACCGGUGAAAUGCGUAGAGAUCGGGAAGAACAUCGGUGGCGAAAGCGCUCUACUGGACGGCAACUGACACUCAGGGACGAAAGCUAGGGGAGCGAAUGGGAUUAGAUACCCCAGUAGUCCUAGCUGUAAACGAUGGAUACUAGGUGUAGCUUGUAUCGACCCGAGCUGUGCCGAAGCUAACGCGUUAAGUAUCCCGCCUGGGGAGUACGCACGCAAGUGUGAAACUCAAAGGAAUUGACGGGGGCCCGCACAAGCGGUGGAGUAUGUGGUUUAACUUCGAUGCAACGCGAAGAACCUUACCAGGGCUUGACAUGUCCGGAAUCCCGGUGAAAGCUGGGAGUGCCUUCGGGAGCCGGAACACAGCUGGUGCAUGCCAGUCGUCAGCUCGUGUCGUGAGAUGUUGGGUUAAGUCCCGCAACGAGCGCAACCCUCGUCUUUACUUGCCAGCAUUAAGUUGGGCACUUUAGAGAGACUGCCGGUGUCAAACCGGAGGAAGGUGGGGAUGACGUCAAGUCAGCAUGCCCCUUACGCUCUGGGCGACACACGU
rnacentral:rRNA from 1 species